rnacentral:lncRNA from 1 species
GGGCUUUGUAACUUGCUUUGUCACAUGUAAAAUUCAUGUGGCUUUAUCCGUGUGCCAGGAGUUUAUACCCUGUACGCUCAGAGCUGCACAACACAAUCUUCUUAAAGUCCAGCUCCUGCUCCUUCGUUAUUAGCAAAGGUUUCCUUCAUUCUGCAAUCAGGCUGAAUUUCGACCAUCUGCUCCCUUGGGCACAGAGCUCUUUGCAAGGACCAGGACCAGAGUGUGUGAAUCCAUGGAGAAAUGAACAGUUGGACUCUACCAUCUUUAGGCUGAUACAGACCAGUAAAGGGCAAAUCCUGAGUUCUUCGUUCAGGUAAAUUGAACCUAACAUAAAGGUGGAAGGAUUUAGCCUAGG